rnacentral:rRNA from 1 species
UACGUAGGUGGCGAGCGUUAUCCGGAAUUACUGGGCGUAAAGCGCACGCAGGCGGUCUUUUAAGUUUGACGUGAAAGCUCCCGGCUUAACUGGGAGAGGUCGUUGAAGACUGGAAGGCUUGAGGCAAUGAGAGGGGUGUAGAAUUCCCGGUGUAGUGGUGGAAUGCGUAGAUAUCGGGGGGAAUACCAGUGGCGAAAGCGGCACCCUAGCGUUAGCCUGACGCUCAUGUGCGAAAGCGUGGGGAGCGAACGGG